rnacentral:misc_RNA from 1 species
UCUCCGUAGGUGAACCUGCGGAGGGAUCAUUACAGAGUUCAUGCCCUACCGGGUAGAUCUCCCACCCUGUGUUAUUAUUACUUUGUUGCUUUGGCGGGCCGUUAGGCUCCGGCCCGACUACCGGCCCCGGCUGGUAAGCGCCUGCCAGAGGACCCAAAACCCUGAAUAUUAGUGUCGUCUGAGUACUAUAUAAUAGUUAAAACUUUCAACAACGGAUCUCUUGGUUCUG